rnacentral:rRNA from 1 species
GCUAAAUACUCCCGAGAGACCGAUAGUGAACCAGUACCGCGAGGGAAAGGUGAAAAGUACCCCGAGCAGGGGGGUGAAAUAGACCCUGAACCCGCGCGCCUACAAGCGGUCGGAGCCGGGUAAUCCGGUGACGGCGUGCCUUUUGCAUAAUGAGCCUACGAGUUAGUCGUCACCAGCGAGGUUAAGGGCUUCAGGCCCGUUAGCCGAAGUGAAAGCGAGCCUUAACAGGGCGUCGAGUUGGUGGCGCUAGACGCGAAACCUUGUGAUCUACCCACGAGCAGGUUGAAGUCGCGGUAACACGUGAUGGAGGACCGAACCGGUAAACGUUGAAAAGUUUUCGGAUGACUCGCGGGUAGGGGUGAAAGGCCAAUCAAACUGGGAAAUAGCUCGUACUCUCCGAAAUGCAUUUCGGUGCAGCCUGUGAUGUUCUGUUCCAGAGGUAGAGCUACUGGUUGGACGCGAGGGCUUCACCGCCUAUCAAAUCCGGAUAAACUCCGAAUGCUGGAACACGAAAUCAUGGAGUGAGCCCGCGGGUGCUAAGGUCCGCGGACGAGAGGGAAAGAACCCGGACCACCGGCUAAGGUCCCGGAUGGACAGUUAAGUUGAUCAAACGAGGUGGGAUCGCUGAGACAGCUAGGAUGUUGGCUUGGAAGCAGCCAUUCAUUUAAAGAGUGCGUAACAGCUCACUAGUCGAGCGAUCCCGCGUGGAUAAUACACGGGCAUCAAACUGUCAACCGAAGCCGUGGGGUCAGCGAAAAGCUGACCGGUAGGAGAGCAUUCCUGCCAGCGUCGAAGGUCACCCGCGAGAGUGACUGGAGCGGCAUGAAAAGCAAAUGUAGGCAUAAGUAACGAUAAUGGGGGCGAGAACCCCCCACGCCGCAAGACCAAGGAUUCCCCGGCAAUGUCAAUCAGCCGGGGGUCAGCCGGCCUCUAAGGCUCACCCGAAAGGGGAUGCCGACGAGAAACGGGUUAACAUUCCCGUGCUUCUCGUCACCGUGACGCGGUGACGGGGUGAUGAAUGGACCGCGCGCUGACGGAAUAGCGCGUUGAAGGCCGUACCCUUCGAGGGUGGUAGUCAAGCACGCCACCCGAGGCGAUAGCCGAUAGUACCACGAGACCCCGGUCGAGUGGAUAGCGUCCAGGCAAUUUACCCCCUAGAAAACCCGCUAAACUUCAAGUGACGAGGAACCGUACUGUAAACGGACACACGUGGUCGGGUAGAACAUACCAAGGCGCUCGAGUGAUUCAUGGUCAAGGAACUAGGCAAAAUAGUCCUGUAACUUAGGGAUAAAGGACGCUCUAGUGAUAGAGCCGCAGAGUAAUGGCCCAGGCGACUGUUUACCAAAAACACAUGGCUAUGCCAAAUCGAAAGAUGACGUAUAUGGCCUGACACCUGCCCGGUGCCGGAAGGUUAAGAGGAGAGCUCAUCGGAAACGAGAAGGUUUGAAUUGAAGCCCCGGUAAACGGCGGCCGUAACUAUAACGGUCCUAAGGUAGCGAAAUUCCUUGUCGGGUAAGUUC